rnacentral:tRNA from 1 species
GCCUCCAUCGUCUAGGGGACUAGGACGCAGCCCUUUCAAGGCUAAAACGCGAGUUCGAAUCUCGCUGGAGGCA